rnacentral:rRNA from 1 species
AGUGAACGCUGGCGGUAUGCCUAACACAUGCAAGUCGAACGGCAGCACAGUAAGCGUUUGCCCUUACGGGGGGCGGGUGGCGGCCGGGUGAGGCGUACAUCGGUAUCUCCUUUUUCGUGGUGGCUAACGUAGAGGAACUCUCAUUACUCCUGCAUUCGACCUACGGAAGAAUUUAUGCGCUCUUCGAACCUUGUGCGAUUGAUUAAGCCGGUGUCGGAGUAGCUAGUUGGCGGGCGAACGGCCCAUCAAGGCGACGAUCGGUAGCUGGUCUGAGAGGGUGAUCAGCCAGACUGGAACUGAGACACGGUCGAGACUCCGAAGGGAGGCAGCAGUGGGGAAUAUUAGAGAAGGGGGGAGAGACUGAUCCAGCAAUACCGCCUAGGGGAAGAAGGACUUCGGGUUGUAAAACGCUUUUGUUGGGAAAGAAAAGCAGCAGGUUAAUGCGCCGCUGUUCUGACGGUACCUAAUGAAUAAGCACCGGCUAACUUCGUG